GACGAACCGUGCGAACGUUGUUCGGAUUCAUUGGGCUUAAAGGGCGCGUAGGCGGCCGCUUAAGUCGGGGGUGAAAUCUUUCAGCUCAACUGGAAAAUAGCCUCCGAUACUGGGCGGCUGGAGGGAGAUAGGGGUGCGCGGAACUUCCGGUGGAGCGGUGAAAUGCGUAGAUAUCGGAAGGAACGCCGGUGGCGAAAGCGGCGCACUGGAUCUCAUCUGACGCUGAGGCGCGAAAGCCAGGGGAGCAAACGGG
rnacentral:rRNA from 1 species